UAUAGUGUGUCAUAUACCGUGUCAUAUAGUGUCCAUAAAAACAGGCAGAACUUGGAUAGCACUGUUGUGGUUAGUUGUUUUUAACUUUUCUGUCCAUGCCCUGCAGGCAUCCUUGAUGGAUUUAGUAAUGAUCUGUAGAAAUAACUGACGCUACGCCAGUUCAGAAGUUCUUUUACACUUGCUAAAUUAUCUAAUCAAUACUGUGUGUGGCUGCUUCGCCGGGAAGUUUGUUCAUCUGCCAGACGGAAUUCUCUGCCUUCUGCGUUAUUGGAAGAGAGAAUGGAAGAGGAUUGACUGAAGGAAUAUGAGACGUUCCAUCUGGAGAAAAGACGAUUGUUUGAAGGUGUGAUAACCAUGUUCAGCAGUGAUCCUCUCCUCCAGUUCUGCAGUUCUGUGAUGACCGAAUCUGUGCCCUUUUCAUUUUUUAAGCAUGCCAAUGUGAGAUCCAUCUGAGAUAACAAAUACAGGUAAUCCUUGACUUAAGACCACAACUGGGACCAGAAUUUCCAGUGCUAAGCAAGGCAAUUAUUAAGUGAGCCAUGCCCAAUUUUUAUGAUUUUUGCCAUGUUGUUAAGUAAAGCACGCAGUUGUUGAGUGAAUCAGGAAGCCGUUCCCCGAAUCUGCUGUGGAUUCAGGAUCCGCCAUUCCCCUAUGGACUUUGCUUGGCAAAAGUCAGCUGGGUAACUAUCACAAAUGGUGAUCAUAUGACCCUAGGAUGCUGCAAUCAUUGUAAAUCAUGCUGGUUGCCCCGAAUUUUGAUCACAUUACUGUGGGGAUGCUGCAGUAGUUGUAAGAGCAAGAUGUUGUGGCCCGCCAGCGGCCUGUGCAGCUGGUAGCUGAUUCCGACAGCAAGGAGGCUGGUGUGGUGAUUCGCCAGCAGCCUGUGCAGCUGGGACCUGAGUCAGACAAUGAGGAGGCUGGAGAAGAUUUGGUGCCAGAGGCGGAGAUUCAGCCAAGGCCUUCAGAACCUCCAGAAGCUCCCAUAAGUGAAGAGGAAGAAGAGGAGGAGCCUCUUCUCAAUGCACGGGCGCGCAGGAAUGGCUCCUCAGGAGGAGGUCUCCUCGAGAGUAAGGCUUGGGGCUAAUUGGCCACUCCCCUAGCCCAGGGGUGGGCAAUUGUGGCUCUUUUACAACCUGUGGACUUCAACUCCCAGAAUUCCGGAGACAGCUAUUUAAGGAAUGACGACGACUGAGGCAAUUUGCAGAAAACAACUUCGUUCAUAUUCCUUCGCAUAUUGACUCCAGAAACGUCUGAUCUCUUUUGUCAUUUUUCCUGCAAAUUGCUUCUGGGCAUUCUGCCAACCACAGUAAGCUUACAGUUAUCUGAAAGACUGUGCCUCAGAAUUCAGUUAUUAUUCCUUGGACUCUUGUCGGCUGUUAAUGAAGUUAAAUUAACAGCCCUUGUUCAGAAAAGACUGAUUUAAACUGUACUUGUUUUGAACAACUACUAAGAAAGCUCAUUAGUAGUCCUUAAUUAGUAAACUAAGGUUGGUACGGA